CGGUCUCGUGCUGCUCUGCAGCGGGUGAGCUCGGAGGAGGACUCCGUUGUCCGGCUGCCUCUCGGCCUCCAACCGGUGGCUACGGCUUCGUCUUGCCGUCCCCGACGUCUCUGUUGUAUCAGAUUUCAUGGAGGAGAGCUGCUGAAAGAGAAUCGGAGGAGAGAAAGUGAUUGCCUCUCCGAUCGGGUUUCCGAUUCCGGCCACGGCGGCGUGCAUGGCUGGUGGUGGUAGCUUCGUCUUGACCUGGAGAACCUCCCUGUGGCUUCAAUAUGUCGAGACGAGCAGUGGUGAGUGAGAAUCGAUGCAGAGGAGUGGUUUGAGUUUUCCGGCGUUGUUCUUCAUUUUCCGGCGAGCUUCGAAUUCGAUUCAGGUAUAAAAGUUGGACUAUUUAUUGAGUUCUACGUAUUUGUAUAAUUGAAUUCGAGUUUGAGUGUUUUUGGGAGAAGUUGGAAUUUAGGCAGGACCCGACUGCCGUGUGUGGUGGCGGAUUGGCGGUGCUGGCCUAAGCUCGUCCUUGAUUCAUUUUUGUUCAGAAAUAUGGAUUGAUGAUUAGUAUGUUGUCUGUAAUUGUUGAAAUUGUAGAAUUGGAGGUAGAGAGCUGAGUUGCAGGUUGUUCGGGUUACUGUGUUUGUGUAGGUUGCUGCGUUCAGCGUCCACAACGGUGGUGGUGGUGAUUGACUGUUCUGGGAGUACCUUUUGGCUUUACUUAGUAUAGUGAACGUUUGUGGGUACUGAGAUGAUUGAUUUACAGUUGGUUAAAGUUGGAAAGAUUGGAACUUUGGAGUUGUGUUCUAUUAACUGUGAGUGAGGGUUCAAAUAGUUCAUUCAAUAAUUUUGGGUGGUUAAUAACAGUGAAGAUGUGUUGGAUUAUUGUAAGGAGUUUGAAAGAUGUUUGUGAGAAAGUCUGGAAGGUCAACAAUGAGGAAUUUAGGUCGAGACUAGAGAGCUUGUCUUAUUUUGAGUAGUGAAGAAGAUGUUGUUUAAUUAAGAGAGGAGAUGGGGCAUUGGAGCAACAUGAACCGAGAAGUGUUGUUGACAAUAUGAAAUAAGUUCAGAACCGAGAUUGAGCAAGAUGGGUGUUCACCUGAUGUAGAUUAAGAUAGUUCUAAGCUAUUGGGUGUCCUUAGUAAAUUUCAAGGACUUGAUAGUAUCAAUUUGAAGUGACCUAUCAACAUUCUUGGAAUGAGGAUUUGGUACGAGGAUUGAGUAACUAUCGACAUUCCAAGAGCAGAAGGAUAAGGAUUUCAGAAUGCGUGCCACGGUGUUACUAAUUUUAAUUAGCGUCAGAGCUAGCGCUUGGAUUUCAGGGUCGUACGAGGACACGUAUUAGUUGACGUGAACGAGAGUCGAGAAGGAUUACAGAAGAUUAGAAGUGAACUAGGUUGUAAGGUCUGUCGGUUUUGUCUCUGUAAUCGGUUUUGUUUUUGUAAUCGUUUUAUUUUUUAUAAUUUCGAUAAAAGUAUUUGAAAU